rnacentral:rRNA from 1 species
AGAGUUUGAUCCUGGCUCAGGACGAACGCUGGCGGCGUGCUUAACACAUGCAAGUCGAACGCUGAAGCUUGGUGCUUGCACUGGGUGGAUGAGUGGCGAACGGGUGAGUAUCACGUGAGUAACCUGCCCCUGACUUCGGGAUAAGCCUGGGAAACUGGGUCUAAUACCGGAUAUGACCAUCUUUCGCAUGUUUGGUGGUGGAAAGUUUUUUCGGUUGGGGAUGGGCUCGCGGCCUAUCAGUUUGUUGGUGGGGUAAUGGCCUACCAAGACGACGACGGGUAGCCGGCCUGAGAGGGCGACCGGCCACACUGGGACUGAGACACGGCCCAGACUCCUACGGGAGGCAGCAGUGGGGAAUAUUGCACAAUGGGGGAAACCCUGAUGCAGCGACGCCGCGUGGGGGAUGACGGCCUUCGGGUUGUAAACCUCUUUCAGUAGGGAAGAAGCCUUUGGGUGACGGUACCUGCAGAAGAAGUACCGGCUAACUACGUG